AAAAGGGAAUUCAUACAGGCCAAAGGGA
rnacentral:sRNA from 1 species